UACGGAAGGCAGCAGUGGGGAAUAUUGCACAAUGGGCGCAAGCCUGAUGCAGCCAUGCCGCGUGUAUGAAGAAGGCCUUCGGGUUGUAAAGUACUUUCAGCGGGGAGGAAGGCGAUGCGGUUAAUAACCGCGUCGAUUGACGUUACCCGCAGAAGAAGCACCGGCUAACUCCGUGCCAGCAGCCGCGGUAAUACGGAGGGUGCAAGCGUUAAUCGGAAUUACUGGGCGUAAAGCGCACGCAGGCGGUCUGUUAAGUCAGAUGUGAAAUCCCCGGGCUUAACCUGGGAACUGCAUUUUGAACUGGCAGGCUUGAGUCUUGUAGAGGGGGUAGAAUUCCAGGUGUAGCGGUGAAAUGCGUAGAGAUCUGGAGGAAUACCGGUGGCGAAGGCGGCCCCUGGACAAGACUGACGCUCAGGUGCGAAAGCGUGGGGAGCAAACAGGAUUAGAUACC
rnacentral:rRNA from 1 species